GCAUUUAUGACAUCAAGGAGUUGGUAGAGCGCAAGGCUCUUAACCUUGUGGUCAUGGGUUCGAGCCCCUCGGUGUGCG